rnacentral:rRNA from 1 species
AUUGAACGCUGGCGGCAUGCUUUACACAUGCAAGUCGAACGGUAACAGGCCGCAAGGUGCUGACGAGUGGCGAACGGGUGAGUAAUGCAUCGGAACGUGCCCAGUCGUGGGGGAUAACGCAGCGAAAGCUGCGCUAAUACCGCAUACGAUCUAUGGAUGAAAGCGGGGGACCGUAAGGCCUCGCGCGAUUGGAGCGGCCGAUGUCAGAUUAGGUAGUUGGUGGGGUAAAGGCUCACCAAGCCAACGAUCUGUAGCUGGUCUGAGAGGACGACCAGCCACACUGGGACUGAGACACGGCCCAGACUCCUACGGGAGGCAGCAGUGGGGAAUUUUGGACAAUGGGCGCAAGCCUGAUCCAGCAAUGCCGCGUGCAGGAAGAAGGCCUUCGGGUUGUAAACUGCUUUUGUACGGGACGAAACGGUCCUGGUUAAUACCCGGGGCUAAUGACGGUACCGUAAGAAUAAGCACCGGCUAACUACGUGCCAGCCGCCGCUGUAACAC